rnacentral:rRNA from 1 species
CAGUAGCCACGGUAAUACGAGGGGGGCAAGCGUUGUUCGGAAUUAUUGGGCGUAAAGGGCGCGUAGGCGGUUUGGCAAGUUUGGUGUGAAAUCUUCGGGCUCAACUCGAAGUCUGCACCGAAAACUGCCGGGCUUGAGUAUGGGAGAGGUGAGUGGAAUUUCCGGUGUAGCGGUGAAAUGCGUAGAUAUCGGAAGGAACACCUGUGGCGAAAGCGGCUCACUGGACCAUUACUGACGCUGAGGCGCGAAAGCUAGGGGAGCAAACAGGAUUAGAUACCCCUGUAGUCCCUGUCUCUUAUAA